ensembl:lncRNA
AAAAAGCAGCAGCAGCAAAUAUGAUAUUCUGGCCAGCGAUGAUGUGGAGGGCCAAGAGGGAGCGACCAUCGACUUUGACGAGGGCGUUUCUAUCACACCUUUCAUCCCGGACGAGCCCCCAUUUGUCACGACCUGGCUCUUUGGGCAAUGACAAGAUUGGAGUUGCGAUUGGGUUUCCGAGGGCUCCAGAGUCAAGCAGCUGAAAGCUCAGCAGGGUCCAUUCAGUCUGGAUCAGACAAAGAUAUCUGAAGAUCCAGAAGGAUUAAGGGUAUAAACCAGCAACUUACAGACAGAGGCACAUUGCUCUCAGUGCCCCACUGCCCUGCCGCUGGCUGCCAAUCAGAGGGGGAACCAGCUGUCAGCUGACUAUGGAGCACAGUGAGCACUUUGCAUCACACCUCAAAGACAAGAUAUGGACGGUUUCCGUGGCUGCAGAUUGAUGUUGUCUUUUAGAAAAGGAAAAACAACAACCGGCAACAUGUUAGCAACUGUUUACUGAAAAACUCUGGUUUCAACACCUGAUAUGCAGCUGACAAGCACACAUUCUGGCCUCCUGAGGCCCACUAGACAAAAGCGGUGCUGGACUUCAUACAGUGUUUUCUCACCUAACUGGACUUCAUACACUGUUAGCUCACUCAACCAGAGAUUCAUGCACUGUUAGCUCACCGAACUGGUGAUGUUAAGGUUGUUCGUUGUGUAUGUUACAGUCAUCUAACCUUAUUGUGGGUUAAUGAAGGUUCAGGGGCAGAGGUGAAGGGAGAUGAAUGACAGUGAAUGUUCAGUGAAAUGAUCACUAUGUUACCUUGAGGAGUACACACUGAAUGCCUGAAGAAAGACAUUAUAAAACAAAGAAAAUUGUUGUGGAAUUCUCUUCUCUGUCAGGUUCAGUUGGUUCAGUUGAAUUUGAUUUCUUACUAAUUGUCUCAUCCGCAUGAAGAGUGAGCUGAUAUUAGGAAGCCUUUCAGCUCCAUUCCUGGACACAUCGUUACAAUGCAUAACUUUUUAGCCUGUUGAUUCAUCCCGGGACCAAAGAUUAAUGAAGGAAACAAUGGUUCUUACUAUCAGGAUGUCAGCUUCAGCUGGAGCAACUGAGCAUUCGUUAAGGAAACCGUAUUAUGAUAUGAAGGAACAAAAGUCAGAAACAGGUUUAAAAAGUAGUAAACUACUUAAGACUGCUGCAGUUCACUGUUAUCGCCCAGUUUAGUUUAGAUUUCAUCCAGACUUGUUGUGAUCUUUCAACCAUUAACUAUGAGAGCAAACGGAAAAGUAAAGUGUUUUUCAAAGGCCCCCUCAACAAAUAAAUAAUGUAUAUCUUUGAAUAAUAUUCGUAUAUUUAUUUAUAUAUAUACAUAUAUAUAUAUAUAUAUACAGUAUAUACGUACAUUGUUUCAUAUUUUGCACAUUUAUUAAAUUUAUUUCCCGAACUAAUGUUUUAUUCCGGAAUUAAUGUCCUCCUUUGAUAUCUAUAUCAUCUUUGAGUUUCACUUUCCACCAGAUUAUCUGUUGAUUAUUAAAUCCCUUUAGAUUCUGUUAAUUUAAGAAUACAACAAGAAUUAUUAACAAUGUCAAGUACCUUCCCUUCACCGAAAAGAGUCAAGACGAUGCGAGAUUCUUUUAAAACUGGACCUUUAUCCUUUUUCUAUAAUUUCAGAUGAUAUUUUUCUAUCUCCCCUGUGAACUCAUUGAACAUCCAAUCAGUUUGAUCAAGUGAUGGCGGAUUAAAA